rnacentral:rRNA from 1 species
ACCCUUAAAAGAGUGCGUAAUAGCUCACUGGUCGAGUGAUUCUGCGCCGACAAUGUAACGGGGCUCAAGUGUGAUACCGAAGCCACGGGUUCGUAUUUAUACGAGCGGUAGCGGAGCGUCGAUCACGCGUCGAAGCGGCAGGGUAACCGGUCGUGGAGUGUGGUCGAGUGAGAAUGUUGGCAUGAGUAGCGAAAGAGGAGUGAGAAGCUCCUCCGCCGAAUAUCCAAGGGUUCCUGGGGAAGGCUAAUCCUCCCAGGGUGAGUCGGGAGCUAAGGCGAGGCCGAAAGGCGUAGUCGAUGCACAACCGGUUGAUAUUCCGGUACCACCGUGUCCGCGUCCAUUCCAAUUCUUGGUUGCUAAGGGGCUGUCAGGGGGUUUACCCCCGAAACGAACCGACCCACCUCGAGGCGGACAGCUGUAGGGGGACGCAGGAAGGUAGGUGAACCCAGGCGAUGGUUGUCCUGGGGUAAGCGUGUAGGGAGAGGUCCAGGCAAAUCCGGCCCUCAUAUAUCCUGAGACGUGAUACCGAAGCCGUAUGGCUUAAGUCACUGAUCCUAUGCUGCCUAGAAAAGCCCAGCAGUGAGUUGACAUGUGUGCCCGUACCCCAAACCGACACAGGUGGAUAGGUAGAGAAUACCAAGGCGAUUGAGUGAACUAUGGUUAAGGAACUCGGCAAAAUGCAUGCGUAACUUCGGGAUAAGCAUGACCCCGUUAGGGUGAAGAGACUUGCUCUCCGAGCUCGAAGGGGUGGCACAGAAUUGGGGGAAGCGACUGUUUACUAAAAACACAGCAGCGUGCGAAGCCGUAAGGCGCUGUAUACGCUGUGACGCCUGCCCGGUGCUGGAAGGUCACGGGGAAGGGUUAGCCCUUGAGGCGAAGCUCUGAACCUAAGCCCCAGUAAACGGCGGCCGUAACUAUAACGGUCCUAAGGUAGCGAAAUUCCUUGUCGGGUAAGUUCCGACCUGCACGAAUGGCGUAACGACUUCCCUACUGUCUCAACCAUAGACUCAGCGAAAUUGAAGUACGAGUAAAGAUGCUCGUUAGCUGUAGAAGGACGGAAAGACCCCGUGGACCUUUACUAUAGCUUGGUAUUGAGUUUUGUUAUGCAUUGUGUAGGAUAGGUGGGAGGCUAGGAAGCAUGCACGCCAGUGUGUGUGGAGCCAUCCUUGAAAUACCACCCUGUGUAUGGCGAGACUCUAACCUAGGACCGUUAUCCGGUCCGGGAACAGUGCCAGGUGGGUAGUUUGACUGGGGCGGUCGCCUCCUAAAAUGUAACGGAGGCGCCCAAAGGUUCCCUCAGGCUGGUUGGCAAUCAGCCGUCGAGUGCAAUGGCACAAGGGAGCUUGACUGCGAGACCUACAAGUCAAGCAGGUGCGAAAGCAGGGCAUAGUGAUCCGGCGGUUGCGUGUGGAAGCGCCGUCGCUCAACGGAUAAAAGGUACCCCGGGGAUAACAGGCUGA